rnacentral:rRNA from 1 species
GAUGAACGCUGGCUACAGGCUUAACACAUGCAAGUCGAGGGGAAACGACGGGGAAGCUUGCUUCCCCGGGCGUCGACCGGCGCACGGGUGAGUAACGCGUAUCCAACCUGCCUCUGACUGAGGGAUAACCCGUCGAAAGUCGGCCUAAUACCUCAUGGCAUCGUCUGCGGGCAUCCAACGACGAUUAAAGAUUUCAUCGGUCAGAGAUGGGGAUGCGUCUGAUUAGCUAGUUGGCGGGGUAACGGCCCACCAAGGCGACGAUCAGUAGGGGUUCUGAGAGGAAGGUCCCCCACAUUGGAACUGAGACACGGUCCAAACUCCUACGGGAGGCAGCAGUGAGGAAUAUUGGUCAAUGGGCGAGAGCCUGAACCAGCCAAGUAGCGUGCAGGAUGACGGCCCUAUGGGUUGUAAACUGCUUUUAUGCGGGGAUAAAGUGAGGGACGUGUCCUUCAUUGCAGGUACCGCAUGAAUAAGGACCGGCUAAUUCCGUGCCAGCAGCCGCGGUAAUACGGAAGGUCCGGGCGUUAUCCGGAUUUAUUGGGUUUAAAGGGAGCGUAGGCCGUGGAUUAAGCGUGUUGUGAAAUGCAGGUGCUCAACGUCUGCACUGCAGCGCGAACUGGUCCACUUGAGUGUGCGCAACGCAGGCGGAAUUCGUCGUGUAGCGGUGAAAUGCUUAGAUAUGACGAAGAACUCCGAUUGCGAAGGCAGCUUGCGGGAGCACAACUGACGCUGAAGCUCGAAAGUGCGGGUAUCGAACAGG